AGGUCAUUUCAAAGAGGGCACAUGGGGCUGUGAAACGCUGAACUCUUAACUCUAUGACCAAAGAUUUAAGUUGCCCAUUGGAUGCCAUAGUCAUUCAAUACUGCCAAGUUUUUCUGAGGGGCUAUAGGA
ensembl:snoRNA